AUUGAACGCUGGCGGCAGGCUUAACACAUGCAAGUCGAGCGGAGCGCGGGACGCGUGCGUAAUGCCUAUGAAUCUGCCUGGUCGUGGGGGAUAACGUCCGGUAACGGGCGCUAAUACCGCUUACUCUCACAUUAGCCUAGGUCGGAUUAGCUAGUUGGUGGGGUAAAGGCCUACCAAGGCGACGAUCCGUAACUGGUGUGAGAGGAUGAUCAGUCACACUGGAACUGAGACACGGUCCAGACUCCUACGGGAGGCAGCAGUGGGGAAUAUUGGACAAUGGGCGAAAGCCUGAUCCAGCCAUGCCGCGUGUGUGAAGAAGGCCUUCGGAUUGUAAAGCACUUUAAGUUGGGAAGCGUUACCAACAGAAUAAGCACCGGCUAACUACGUGCCAGCAGCCGCGGUAAUUC
rnacentral:rRNA from 1 species